rnacentral:rRNA from 1 species
AGCGAACGCUGGCGGCAGGCCUAACACAUGCAAGUCGAACGAACCUUUCGGGGUUAGUGGCGGACGGGUGAGUAACACGUGGGAGCGUGCCUUUAGGUUCGGAAUAACUCAGGGAAACUUGUGCUAAUACCGAAUGUGCCCUUCGGGGGAAAGAUUAAUCGCCUUUAGAGCGGCCCGCGUCUGAUUAGCUAGUUGGUUGAGGUAAUGGCUCACCAAGGCGACGAUCAGUAGCUGGUCUGAGAGGAUGAUCAGCCACAUUGGGACUGAGACACGGCCCAAACUCCUACGGGAGGCAGCAGUGGGGAAUCUUGCGCAAUGGGCGAAAGCCUGACGCAGCCAUGCCGCGUGAAUGAUGAAGGUCUUAGGAUUGUAAAAUUCUUUCACCGGGGACGAUAAUGACGGUACCCGGAGAAGAAGCCCCGGCUAACUUCGUG